rnacentral:rRNA from 1 species
UACGUAGGGGGCGAGCGUUGUCCGGAAUCAUUGGGCGUAAAGCGCGUGUAGGCGGCCCGAUAAGUCCGCUGUGAAAGUCCAGGGCUCAACCCUGGGAUGCCGGUGGAUACUGUCGGGCUCGAGUCCGGAAGAGGCGAGUGGAAUUCCUGGUGUAGCGGUGAAAUGCGCAGAUAUCAGGAGGAACACCAAUGGCGAAGGCAGCUCGCUGGGACGUGACUGACGCUGAGACGCGAAAGCGUGGGGAGCAAACAGG